rnacentral:rRNA from 1 species
AACGUAGGACACAAGCGUUAUCCGGAAUCACUGGGCGUAAAGGGUGCGUAGGCCGCACGGUAAGUCAGAGGUGAAAUCCCGGAGCUCAACUUCGGAAUUGCCUCCGAUACUGCCGUGCUUGAGGACUGGAGAGGAGAUUGGAAUUCACAGUGGAGCAGUGAAAUGCGUAGAUAUUGUGAGGAACACUAGUGGCGAAGGCGAAUCUCUGGACAGUUCCUGACACUGAGGCACGAAGGCCAGGGGAGCAAACGGG